rnacentral:tRNA from 1 species
GGUGCAGCUCAGUGGUAGAGCACUUGCCUAGCAUGUGUGGGGCCCUGGGUUCAAUCCCCAGCACCA